rnacentral:tRNA from 1 species
AGAAGUUUAGGUUAACAUUAAAACUCGGGGCCUUCAAAGCCCCAAAUAGAUCAACAACACAUCUAACUUUUG